UACGGAGGGUGCGAGCGUUAAUCGGAAUUACUGGGCGUAAAGGGUGCGUAGGUGGUUGAUUAAGUUAGGUGUGAAAUUCCUGGGCUUAACCUGGGCUGGAAACUUAAAACUGGUCGACUUGAGUAUAGGAGAGGGUAGUGGAAUUUCCGGUGUAGCGGUGAAAUGCGUAGAGAUCGGAAGGAACACCAGUGGCGAAGGCGGCUACCUGGCCAGAUACUGACACUGAAGCACGAAAGCGUGGGGAGCAAACAGG
rnacentral:rRNA from 1 species